rnacentral:rRNA from 1 species
UGGGGAAUCUUGGACAAUGGGGGCAACCCUGAUCCAGCCAUGCCGCGUGAGUGAUGAAGGCCUUAGGGUCGUAAAGCUCUUUCGCCUGUGAAGAUAAUGACGGUAGCAGGUAAAGAAACCCCGGCUAACUCCGUGCCAGCAGCCGCGGUAAUACGGAGGGGGUUAGCGUUGUUCGGAAUUACUGGGCGUAAAGCGCACGUAGGCGGACCAGAAAGUUGGGGGUGAAAUCCCGGGGGCUCAACCCCGGAACUGCCUCCAAAACUAUUGGUCUAGAGUUCGAGAGAGGUGAGUGGAAUUCCAAGUGUAGAGGUGAAAUUCGUAGAUAUUUGGAGGAACACCAGUGGCGAAGGCGGCUCACUGGCUCGAUACUGACGCUGAGGUGCGAAAGUGUGGGGAGCAAAACAGGAUUAGAUACCCUGGUAGUCCACACCGUAAAACGAUGAAUGCCAGUCGUCGGGUAGCAUGCUAUUCGGUGACACACCUAACGGAUUAAGCAUUCCGCCUGGGGAGUACGGUCGCAAGAUUAAAACUC